rnacentral:pre_miRNA from 1 species
UAUGUUCGAAAUCUCAGAGACACACUUAUACUAUAUUAAAGUCCUAUUACCCCUGAACUUAUUUAAUUAAUAUUUUUUUAUCCAUUUUUAGCCUACGUGGCACUAUCCUGUGGGCCAUUGACUUUUUUUUUCAAACUAGUGCCACGUAAGCUAAAAAGGGAUAGAAAAUUACUUAUAAAAUAAGUUUAGGAGGUAAUAGGACCUUAAUAUAGUAUAAAUGUGUCUCUAAGAUUUCGGACGUUGA